GUUGGUGGAGUGAUUUGUCUGGUUAAUUCCGAUAACGAGCGAGACCUCAGCUUCUAAUUAGCAAUUUCGAUUUCGAUUGACAAUUGCAUCUUAGAGGGACUAUCGGUGAGUAGCCGAAGGAAGUUUGAGGCAAUAACAGGU
rnacentral:rRNA from 1 species